rnacentral:misc_RNA from 1 species
AGCAGCCGCGGUAAUUCCAGCUCCAAUAGCGUAUAUUAAAGUUGUUGCAGUUAAAAAGCUCGUAGUUGAAUUUCGGGAUCAGUUGAUCGGUCGUGCCUCGGUACGUACUGGUCAAAUUGAUUCCUACCUUCUGACGAACCACGAUGUCAUUAAUUUGGUGUCGUGGGAAAUCAGGACUGUUACUUUGAAAAAAUUAGAGUGUUUAAAGCAGGCUCGCGCUUGAAUACAUUAGCAUGGAAUAAUGAAAUAGGACGUUUGAUUCUAUUUUGUUGGUUUCUAGGAUCGACGUAAUGAUUAAUAGGGAUAGUUGGGGGCAUUAGUAUUCAAUUGUCAGAGGUGAAAUUCUUGGAUUUAUUGAAGACUAACUACUGCGAAAGCAUUUGCCAAGGAUGUUUUCAUUAAUCAAGAACGAAAGUUAGGGGAUCGAAGACGAUCAGAUACCGUCGUAGUCUUAACCAUAAACUAUGCCGACUAGGGAUUGGAUGAUGUUAAUUUUUAAUGUACUCAUUCGGCGCCUUAA